AUAAAUAAAACAACUUUGCCUUUCACCCUCACGGGAUCUGUGUAAGAAUAAUAAACCAACACAAUCAACUAAAAUAACAAAGACAAAAAAAACAAAAUUACAAAACAGCUUUUUCCUUGCUGGUAACUCCCUGUGUCUAUCUCAGGUUGUGAAUUCCUUGGUCACAGACACCUACCCAGAGGAAAGCACACUUUAAACACCUGGACUAAUUAUUGAUGCACUCCAGGUGUGUGUGCCUAUUUAACCAGCAGGUGUGGUCCUCUGAUUGCCCUGAACCACUCCCACAAACCGAGCCCUGCCACAUUAGCCUUAAACCAACAUAUUUGCCCUGGAUUGUGAAGAGUACAGCAAACACUUACCCUGAUUGAUUAUUCAUUACUCCCUGCACAGAUGAGAAAAAAAAAACCAUCAGUCCUUCCUGCCCUAGCACAUGUUAUACUGCAACAAAAGCUGCCAGGACUUUGUGUUGGUCGGGCCUGAGACCUAGAUUACAGGCAUUGAAUCAAGACAACUGCUUCUGUCAUCCGAAGGUCACAGCUUGUCCUUGGGAGUGCUGUGCUGGAAUCGAUUCGGGCAGAGUUAUUAGUCUUGGUCAGGGUCUCCUGACAUUGGCAAUGGGAUGCUUCACAUCGGGGACCAUCGCUCAAGCUUCCAUUCCUUUCCAAGGAUUCCAUCAUGCAGUUUCCGGAAGGUCACAAAGCGGGCCAAUCUCAGCUGGCGGUCCAUCGACUGUAGAUAUCCCAUUGGUCCUCUCCACUCUGUGCUGUGCCUUCUGCCUUAUCUGUAAUUGCCCAGGCCACACUGCACUGCUGACUGUUUCUAGAAGCUUCCACUUGACCAGCUGUUCUUGCAAGGACAUAGUCUCUUGGCCCCCUAUACACUAAAAAAGCUUGCCUGCCCACUCUCUGUGGUCAAGAUGCACACACUAGGUCUAACACUGUUAGAGUGCAUGGAUUUACAUCCUGCUAUGUGCCUGAGUCCAAGGCUUAAUUACUGCUUCCUGGUAGAAUGCAUAGAUUCACUACCUGCUUCUUCUUUGAGAACAUGGGUUAAUUACUGCUUCCUGUUAGAGUGCAUAGAUUAUCUCCCAAAUUCCUUUUAGACUACAUGGAUUAUCUUUCUAUUUCCUGUUGGAACAUGUGGAUGGGUUGACCCUCUAUCAUAGUUGUCUCCACUGCAGUGAAGUUUAACUAGAGAUGAGCUCUCUCAAGCCAUCACUGAUUCACUGGCACAUUUAGUCUUAUCUUAUUGACUCCAGAACAAUCACCCGAUGCGUUUUUGUGUGCUCUCUCUCCUCACCAGAUCCCACAUUCUGUUAAAUUGAUGCCCAUUUGAAAAGUGACUAUUUAACUUGAUUUAUGAUCAUAUAGACACAUUUUUCAUUAACUGAACCUUCAUAAUAUCUGCCCUUACGAUUUCAUUUUAGAAUGUAUAAGUAAAUAUAAGGUAGUUUAACAGCAAGAAAAGCUGUAUCUCUCUCCCAUGGGCACUGAAGAAAUUGCGACAUCAAUAAAGUGUGUAUGGAGGGGCCAUAACAGUAGAAUUUAUGAGAACAAAUUAAUUGCUGGGUAAAGGGCAGACAAAAGUCGGAAGCUCAAAAGACAGAAAUAGCAGGAAGAAAAGGCCUUUGGGCAUUAUGUAGCUUGAAAGAGAACAAACAGGAUGUGCCUUUCUUCCAUGCACCAAUUAAAAAAGAUUUUGCUGAAUAUUAUUCCUCCAUUGAAUUACAGCGAGAAACUAGAGCAGACAUUUAUGAAUGUGCCAAGUUAAGAGUUAUUAGAGACAAGCAAGCACUUCAACGACAUCCCCGUCUGCUUCACUUUAGUAGAAAUAGAAGAGAGAGAAUAAAAUUGACACAUAGGAUGUUUGUGUUGACAUAGCUGUAUUGAAAAUGUUUUUUGUUUAAAUAAUCAUAAGCAUUUCUGCAGUGCAAUCAUAUGCCAUGUAAUAUGCACAUAGUUUUUGCACUGUUAAAACCUCCUGUGAUGUUAUAUUGUCAAUUACCCUUAUGUUCUUUUUUCUUGUUUAACACAUUAUUUUGUGUUUUAUUUCAAAUGCAAAGUAAAAUAU